UACCAGCACCCCGAGUGGUCGGGACGAUUAUUGGGCCUAAAGCAUCCGUAGCCGGUUCUGCAAGUCCCCCGUUAAAUCCAGCUGCUCAACAGAUGGGCCGCGGAGGAUACUACAGAGCUAGGAGGCAGGAGAGGCAAGCGGUACUCAGUGGGUAGGGGUAAAAUCCGUUGAUCCAUUGAAGACCACCCGUGGCGAAGGCGGCUUGCCAGAAUGCGCUCGACGGUGAGGGAUGAAAGCUGGGGGAGCAAACCGG
rnacentral:rRNA from 1 species